CACGUAGGGUGCGAGCGUUGUCCGGAAUUAUUGGGCGUAAAGAGCUCGUAGGCGGUGUGUCGCGUCGGCCGUGAAAACCCGCAGCUCAACUGUGGGCUUGCAGCUGAUACGGGCAGGCUUGAGUUCGGUAGGGGAGACUGGAAUUCCUGGUGUAGCGGUGAAAUGCGCAGAUAUCAGGAGGAACACCGGUGGCGAAGGCGGGUCUCUGGGCCGAUACUGACGCUGGGGAGCGAAAGCAUGGGGAGCGAACAGG
rnacentral:rRNA from 1 species